rnacentral:rRNA from 1 species
GAUGAACGCUGGCGGCGUGCCUAAUACAUGCAAGUCGAGCGAACAGAUAAGGAGCUUGCUCCCUUGACGUUAGCGGCGGACGGGUGAGUAACACGUGGGUAACCUACCUAUAAGACUGGAAUAACUCCGGGAAACCGGGGCUAAUGCCGGAUAACAUUUAGAACCGCAUGGUUCUAAAGUGAAAGAUGGUUUUGCUAUCACUUAUAGAUGGACCCGCGCCGUAUUAGCUAGUUGGUAAGGUAACGGCUUACCAAGGCAACGAUACGUAGCCGACCUGAGAGGGUGAUCGGCCACACUGGAACUGAGACACGGUCCAGACUCCUACGGGAGGCAGCAGUAGGGAAUCUUCCGCAAUGGGCGAAAGCCUGACGGAGCAACGCCGCGUGAGUGAUGAGGGUCUUCGGAUCGUAAAACUCUGUUAUUAGGGAAGAACAAAUGUGUAAGUAACUGUGCACGUCUUGACGGUACCUAAUCAGAAAGCCACGGCUAACUACGUG